UACGUAGGUGACGAGCGUUGUCCGGAUUUACUGGGCGUAAAGAGCGCGCAGGCGGUCGUUCAAGUCGAGUGUGAAAGCCCCCGGCUCAACUGGGGAGGGUCACUCGAUACUGAUCGACUCGAAGGCAGGAGAGGGUAGUGGAAUUCCCGGUGUAGUGGUGAAAUGCGUAGAUAUCGGGAGGAACACCAGUGGCGAAGGCGGGUCGCUGGGCAGUAACUGACGCUGAGGAGCGAAAGCGUGGGGAGCGAACAGG
rnacentral:rRNA from 1 species